CACGUAGGGUGCGAGCGUUGUCCGGAAUUAUUGGGCGUAAAGAGCUCGUAGGCGGUGUGUCACGUCGGCCGUGAAAACCCGCGGCUUAACCGCGGGCUUGCAGUUGAUACGGGCAGGCUAGAGUUCGGUAGGGGAGACUGGAAUUCCUGGUGUAGCGGUGAAAUGCGCAGAUAUCAGGAGGAACACCGGUGGCGAAGGCGGGUCUCUGGGCCGAUACUGACGCUGAGGAGCGAAAGCGUGGGGAGCGAACAGG
rnacentral:rRNA from 1 species